AACGAACGCUGGCGGCAUGCCUAACACAUGCAAGUCGAACGAGACCUUCGGGUCUAGUGGCGCACGGGUGCGUCACGCGUGGGAACCUGCCCUUAGGUUUGGAAUUAUUCUUUGACAGGGGUGCUAAUACCGGGUAAUGUCCUCGGAUCAAAGAUUUAUCGUCUUUGGAUGGGCCCGCGAUGGUUUAGCUUGUUGGUAUGGUAAAAGCCUAUCAAGGCGACGAUCCAUAGCUGGUCAGAGAGGAUGAUCAGCCACACUGGGACUGGGACACGGCCCAGACUCCUACAGGAGGCAGCAGUGGGGAAUAUUGGACAAUGGGCGAAAGCCUGAUCCAGCAAUGCCGCGUGAGUGAUGAAGUCCUGAAAGAAGUAAAGCACUUUUACCCGGGAUGAUAAUGACAGUACCGGGAGAAUAAGCUCCGGCUAACUCCGUG
rnacentral:rRNA from 1 species